rnacentral:snRNA from 14 species
AGCAACCACGAAGUUCAGGGCCUUAUGAAGACCCGAAGGACAAUUUUUGGAGGCCCCUCCGAGGAGGUGCG